rnacentral:rRNA from 1 species
CUACGGGAGGCAGCAGUGAGGAAUAUUGCACAAUGGGGGAAACCCUGAUGCAGCAACGCCGCGUGGAGGAUGACGCAUUUCGGUGUGUAAACUCCUUUUAUCAGAGAAGAAAAUGACGGUAUCUGAUGAAUAAGCUCCGGCUAACUCCGUGCCAGCAGCCGCGGUAAUACGGAGGGAGCAAGCGUUAUUCGGAAUCACUGGGCGUAAAGGACGCGUAGGCGGGUUAUUAAGUCAGGUGUGAAAUCCAAUGGCUCAACCAUUGAACUGCACUUGAAACUGGUAACCUAGAGUAUGGAAGGGGCAGAUGGAAUUAGUGGUGUAGGGGUAAAAUCCGUAGAUAUCACUAGGAAUACCGAAAGCGAAGGCGAUCUGCUGGGACAUUACUGACGCUGAGGCGUGAAAGCGUGGGGAGCAAACAGGAUUAGAUACCCCCGUAGUC